rnacentral:rRNA from 1 species
GAUCCCAUCAGAACUCCGCAGUUAAGCGUGCCUGGGCGAGAGUAGUACUAGGAUGGGUGACCUCCUGGGAAGGCCUCGUGUUGCACCCC